GCCGUUAGCGGCGCUGUUAUCUGCCUCCUCCGCCAAGGAGAACAAAUGCACGCCCCGCGGUCCCCCAGCCCCAUUGUCAUUCAAAGAGCCUGCGCUCCUGCGCUCCUGCGCUCCGCAGCCCGCGAAACUGCCUCCCAGGCUCCCGGCUGCAGAGGGAUUCAGCGAGACUGCGGGGGAGGAGACAAUGCGCAGGAGGAGGGGCUUGGGAGUUUCUAGAGACCCCUGCGGUGGCAAUAGGGCCCAGGAAGACCCACCCCCCCCAACUCUCAUUGUCUGACUCAGUGACUCAGCUGGGGGCUGGGGCUGGAAGCUGGAGCGGAGUGCGGGUGUCUGUCUUGAGUUUGCACCUUCUGGAAUCUGGAAGAAACUCCGCGGUUCUCCUGGGCCAGUUGAGGGGCCUCCUUCAACCACCUAGCUAACUGUGCCCCAAGCCUGCCGUGCCUGCAUCCAGGCCAAGGAGGAGGGCUUCAGGGGCUCAGAGGAUGCAUCCCCAAACCCUUGGAAUGGCUUUGGAUGAACCACAUUCUGAGAUCCUGGGGCUCACCAGAGACUAUCCCCACCCCACCAGGAGGAGGCGUUCUGUCCAGGUUUGGCGAGAUGAAGACGUUUCCUAGUAGAAAACUAAAGGGCUGCCUCUGGGAAUGAAUGCCUCAUACCCCAAACCUGAGUAUCUCUACCUGCUCCUUCAGUGCCGCCAACGGGUCCCUCCAGUGGCAGUGGUGACCAGUGGCUGGGGAGGCCCAGCUGAGUCAACGUUUGCUGGCCAGUUGCAGGACGAAUGAUGAACAGGUCCGCGUGGAUGGAGAAGUCCGACACAAAGCUGUGCUAAUUCUUCAUAAGCUCUGCCUGCCGCCUUUUAUAUAUCAACC
rnacentral:lncRNA from 1 species